UGUCUUUUCUUUCUACCUCUUCUUUCUACUUCUCUACUUCUCAAUUCUUUAGGAGGUUCGAUCCCCUCGAAGUGAUCGGUUAUCCCUAUUGAUACGGUCGGACCGUAUCAAGGGACAUAUCUGAAAAUAUUAGGACUUUUGUAGAGAUAACUUAUAAAAAUUGAACUUUACAGAAAUAUACUUAUAAUUCACUAUAUUUACGAAGACCUAUAUGCAAUUAACCCUUUCUAUAUCUCUAUAUAUCUAUAUCUAUAUCUAUUCAUGAAUGGACGAAAGCGCAAUUGUGUCCCCAUUCCUUCUUAGCCGUACAUCUUGCCCAUCGCAUCAUAAAAAAGUUAUUGCAUGUACCCGGUUGUCCCAAUCUAUAUUUUUGCGUAUCACGUGCGAUGACUCUGCUAUUUAGGAUCCAUUUAUAUGUAUUAUUAUUAUCAUCAGUAUCGAGUCCAGCUGGGAUUCUAUCGAUUACACCAAGCGCUUAAUACUAAUGAGUUUUUCACCGUUAGAUUUAACCCCCUUUACUAUUUUCACCUGUUAGAUUAUACUUUUCAACCAACAGCUUAUUCAACCCCUAGAGGGCUCACAGCAUGCUAACUGUACAUUCCUUCAUCCAAGGGCCGAAAACCUACUAGCACCGAUAGCUUAGUGCUAUUGGUAGUAUUCCAGCCUAGUUCCAUUAUUAUCUAUAUUUAUAAAUUAAAUAUAUUCAAAAAAGAUAAACUUCAGCAAAUUACUCAUAUAAUUUAACUUAUUUUUACUUUAUCAUUAUGUGAUCAAACAAUUUCAGUUUAUCCUAUUGUGGCUUAAUUUCUGUUUUA
rnacentral:lncRNA from 1 species